CCCUUCUCAGGGUCACAUCUGGAGAGUUUUCACUACUCUAUCAGUCUCGACUACAGGAGGGAGAGUCAAGCAGAUGCCUACCCAAUCCAUUCCUAGCUUGGGCAGUGGCUAGCGAGUGGAAGGCAAUCUGCUACAAGU
rnacentral:snoRNA from 1 species